GUGACUCUUCAGCACCAGCCCAGCCUACAGAUAGGAUUGUGCCAUACUGCUGGACCCAGCACCUAGGUGAUGUAACUCUAUUCUCCUGCUACCCAAAAAGGACAUUGUAACAUAUCUCAGAGUCUUGCACCCAGGUGAUGAUACACUCUACUUAUGCCUGGGCCUUAACAAAAAGAGGGAUUGGGACAUAUCCCUGGACCCUGAACCUAAGAGGUGGAGGUUGCAGUGAGCCAAGAUUACACCACUGCACUCCAGCCGUGGUGACAGAGUGAGACUUCACCAAAACAAAACAAAAAAAACAACAAAAAAGUUGGAUUGUGACAUACACUUUAGUGCAGCUCAUAGUUAUGAUGAUGACACUCAUGCCACAAACCAGCCAAUAGGAGAGAGACUGCCACUUGUAGCUAGACUUACAGAAAUGAAUAACUCCUGAGUCUUCUGUAGUAA
rnacentral:lncRNA from 1 species